AGCGAACGCUGGCGGCAGGCCUAAUACAUGCAAGUCGAACGCACCUUCGGGUGAGUGGCGGACGGGUGAGUAACGCGUGGGAACGUGCCCUUUGGUUCGGAACAACACAGGGAAACUUGUGCUAAUACCGAAUGUGCCCUUCGGGGGAAGAUUUAUCGCCAUUGGAGCGGCCCGCGUUGGAUUAGGUAGUUGGUGAGGUAAAGGCUCACCAAGCCUACGAUCCAUAGCUGGUCUGAGAGGAUGAUCAGCCACACUGGGACUGAGACACGGCCCAGACUCCGUACGGGAGGC
rnacentral:rRNA from 1 species